AAAAAUGAAGGAGGACGAAGAAAAGAGAAGAAAGGCAGUAUUGGAGCGCCAGAAAAAGAUGAAAGAGAAGGUAGCGUGGCAUAUUUUAUUUUCUCAAUUUGUGCAAAGCUCUUCCGAUGACAGUUCUUGUUUAUUCUGUUAUUUUUCGUACAUCAGUCUCCC
rnacentral:ribozyme from 1 species